GGGUCAGUAGGUUGGUCGUGCCACCGGUACGUACUGGUCUCACUGACUCCUCCUUCCUGAAGAACCGUAGUGCCAUUAAUUUGGUGUUGCGGGGAAACAGGACUGUUACUUUGAAAAAAUUAGAGUGUUUAAAGCAAGCUAACGCUUGAAUACAUUAGCAUGGAAUAAUGAAAUAGGACGAUCGAUCCUAUUUUGUUGGUUUCUAGGAUUGACGUA
rnacentral:rRNA from 1 species